rnacentral:rRNA from 1 species
UAGGGAAUCUUCCACAUGGACGCAAGUCUGAUGGAGCAACGCCGCGUGAGUGAAGAAGGGUUUCGGCUCGUAAAGCUCUGUUGUUAAAGAAGAACGUGGGUAAGAGUAACUGUUUACCCAGUGACGGUAUUUAACCAGAAAGCCACGGCUAACUACGUGCCAG